rnacentral:rRNA from 1 species
CAUAGCGACUAUCGUGGCAUAUCAAUAAGCGGAGGAAAAGAAACUAACAAGGAUUCCCUUAGUAACGGCGAGUGAAGCGGGAAGAGCUCAAAUUUGAAAUCUUCAAGGUUCUACCUUGACGAAUUGUAGUUUAAAGAAGUGUUUUCUGUUGAAGUUUUGGUAAAAGUUCUUUGGAAUAGGACAUCAUAGAGGGUGAGAAUCCCGUAUUUGACCGUUACUUUCCAGCUGUGUGAUACACUUUCAAAGAGUCGGAUUGUUUGGGAAUGCAGUCCAAAAUGGGUGGUAAAUUUCAUCUAAAGCUAAAUAUUGGCGAGAGACCGAUAGCGAACAAGUACCGUGAGGGAAAGAUGAAAAGAACUUUGAAAAGAGAGUUAAACAGUACGUGAAAUUGUCAAAAGGGAAGCGUUUGACACCAGUGUUGUUUUUUCCGAAAAUCAAUUACGAAUGUUUUGUUUUUGAGGAGUUAUGACUUCAUCGGCUUGCUUCUCUCUUUACGAAACUUUCUUAAUGCACUUUUCGGUUAACAAGUCAACAUCAAUUUCUUUUGUUGUAAAAGGGUACGAGGAAGGUGGCUUUCUUUUCGGAGAAAGUGUUUAUAGCCUUGUGCCUCUGCAAUCGGAGAGAUUGAGGUCUGCAGCGUAGAUCCUUCGGGGUUAGAUACAUUUGUGCUAAGUUAUAGCUUUUCAUAGACAACUUGUUGACUAUGUUUAGUCUUGUAGCUUACUCGCUUAUGCUAUUUUACCUACGCUUAGGAUGUUGAUAUGCAUGACUGAUAU